rnacentral:tRNA from 1 species
GGGCGUGUAACUCAGUGGUAGAGUGCUCGCUUUGCACCGAUGUAAGAUCUUACAAUGUGAGGUUUGCGAGAAGCCCAGGGUUCGACUCCCUGCUCGUCCA